rnacentral:rRNA from 1 species
UACGAAGGGUGCAAGCGUUACUCGGAAUUACUGGGCGUAAAGCGUGCGUAGGUGGUUUGUUAAGUCUGAUGUGAAAGCCCUGGGCUCAACCUGGGAACUGCAUUGGAAACUGGCUUACUAGAGUGCGGUAGAGGGGUGUGGAAUUCCCGGUGUAGCAGUGAAAUGCGUAGAUAUCGGGAGGAACAUCUGUGGCGAAGGCGGGUCUCUGGGCCGAGUACUGACGCUGAGGAGCGAAAGCGUGGGGAGCGAACAGG